rnacentral:sRNA from 1 species
UUUUAUUUUAGUUUUGUUGACAGCGAUUCGUUAUGUUAUUAUAUUAGUGAGAACCUGUAACAAACUAAACUUUUGGUCCAAGUACUUACCGUCUGAUCGUUCAAAGAAAAAA